rnacentral:rRNA from 1 species
AUAAUAAUUAGUCUUUUAAAUGAAGGCUGGAAUGAAUGAUUGGACGAAGUAAAUUCUGUCUCAUUUAAAUUAAAAUUUAAAUUUAAUUUUUUAGUUAAAAAGCUUAAAUAUUAUUAUAGGACGAGAAGACCCUAUAGAGCUUUAUAAUAUAUGAAUAAUAAACUUUAAUUUUAAUUUAUUAUUUAAAAUAUUAUUUUGUUGGGGCGACAGGAAAAUUUAUAAAACUUUUUUAAUUUUAUUACAUUAAUUUAUGAAUUUUUGAUCCUAAAUUUUAGAUUAUUAGAUUAAGUUACCUUAGGGAUAACAGCGUUAUUUUUUUUUAGAGUUCUUAUUAAUAAAAAAGAUUGC